CAGGGAGACAACAAAAUGUUUAAUAUUAUUAUUUUGUCACCUUAGGUCGAUCGGUAUCUCACGUUCUUAAUUUGUUAAGAAUUUCAUUUCCUAAGUUUUUCUAGGUCACACCCAUUAUUUUUCCUGGGCCAUUAGCUCAGGUGGUUAGAGCGCACCCCUGAUAAGGGUGAGGUCCCUGGUUCAAGUCCAGGAUGGCCCAUAUCUCUAUGUUGGGGGUAUAGCUCAGUUGGUAGAGCGCCUGCUUUGCAAGCAGGAUGUCAGCGGUUCGAGUCCGCUUACCUCCACUGAUUACCACCUCUUCCAUAACUGGUAGAAAGGAAAUGUUUUGAGUUGUGAUUAUUAUUCUGAACGAAUCUAGCUUCCUAAUGAAAUCAUUAAGAUGCUGGACUCAUUGAAUUAAUUUCAUUGUUUUCAGAGAACCUUGACAACUGCAUAGAAUUUUUUAAAGACAAUAAGCAUCUUUAAUGAUGCAGAUUUAUUAUUUGUGCGAAUGCAUUAAUAACAAUUCUAUUAAGCUGAUGCUUCAAUUUUUGAAGUUAUU
rnacentral:tRNA from 1 species